UACGUAGGGGGCAAGCGUUAUCCGGAUUUACUGGGUGUAAAGGGAGCGUAGACGGCGAAGUAAGUCUGAAGUGAAAGCCCAGGGCUCAACCCUGGGACUGCUUUGGAAACUGCAUUGCUAGAGUGUCGGAGAGGUGAGUGGAAUUCCUAGUGUAGCGGUGAAAUGCGUAGAUAUUAGGAGGAACACCAGUGGCGAAGGCGACUCACUGGACGAUAACUGACGUUGAGGCUCGAAAGCGUGGGGAGCAAACAGG
rnacentral:rRNA from 1 species